AUGGCCAAAUUCUUUUGGAGUAGCUCCAUUGACAAAAAUGCUUUCCAUUGGGUGUCCUGGAAGAAUUUGGCUACACCUAAGUGCCAAGGUGGUAUGGGGUUUCGUGAUCCCCAUCAGUUUAACAUUGCAUUACUCGGGAAGCAUGGGUGGCGGUUUAUGACAAACCCUAAUUCUCUGUGCGCAAGGGUAAUGAAAGGCCGCUAUUUUCCUGACACAGAUUUCUUGCAUGCUACUGUUCCCAAAUCAGCGUCUGCUACUUGGCGAGCUAUCAUUGCUGGCAGG
rnacentral:rRNA from 1 species